rnacentral:rRNA from 1 species
ACUUGAAUUGAAUGUGCAAAUGCAACCAUAUUCCUAUUCUUGAAUGAAACCCCGUGAAGUUAGAUAUUCCAAUUUCAGCGAAAACCCCCCUUGACGGUGACGGCGUGUAAUAGCAUAUAUAGCUUUGAUUUUUUUUUUGAAGGUCCCGGCUUUAUGGCUUUUGAACAGCGGAAUGGAUUUUUGACGAGUUUUGGCCGGGGCAGUAAGAGGCAAAACUAGACCUUUUUAAUCUCUGAACGGAUACUUUACUACCCACAAAACAGGAGAAUCCUGAUUAACAGAAUGAGUAACUCCGGGGAUAACAGCGUAAUCUUCCUUGAUAGUUCUUAUAGAUGGGCGGGUUUGCGACCUCGAUGUUGGCUCUGGGUAUCCUGAGGCAUGCAGGCGGUCUCAAGGGUUGGUUCGUUCGCCCAUUAAAACCCGACGUGAUCU